rnacentral:rRNA from 1 species
GUAGGUGGCAAGCGUUGUCCGGAAUUAUUGGGCGUAAAGCGCGCGCAGGCGGUUCUUUAAGUCUGAUGUGAAAGCCCACGGCUCAACCGUGGAGGGUCAUUGGAAACUGGAGAACUUGAGUACAGAAGAGGAAAGCGGAAUUCCACGUGUAGCGGUGAAAUGCGUAGAGAUGUGGAGGAACACCAGUGGCGAAGGCGGCUUUCUGGUCUGUAACUGACGCUGAGGCGCGAAAGCGUGGGGGAGCAAACAGGAUUAGAUACCCUGGUAGUCCACGCCGUAAACGAUGAGUGCUAAGUGUUAGGGGGUUUCCGCCCCUUAGUGCUGCAGCUAACGCAUUAAGCACUCCGCCUGGGAGUACGGCCGCAAGGCUA